UGAGGUUUAGAUGGUUUUGGAAUUUUAGUGUAAUCUGGUCAAAGCAAUUUUUGUGUUUUUUUUUGUAUUAGAGAUUUUUGAAGGAAGUAAUAUUUAUGAACAGUUUUGGGGGUAUAAAAAUUUUUUAUUAGUAAUAUGUGGGUAUGUACCUUUGGUAUCAGGGUGUAUUAAAAUUUUAGAUGUAUUUUAUUUUCCCGAAAUGGAGUGAGUUACAUGGCUAGCUCUUUAUUGUGGUAUAAAUAAGGGUAAUAGUUGAUGUGGUAGUGAGAUGCUAUUCGGACUCCGAGGUAUCUGGUUUCUGUAAAAAUUAGGGAGAUGAGUUUUAGGUUGUUGUCAGCUUAGUAUUAAGUUUGUUAGGGAUAAGCUUAACGUGCUAUUUCUAUAUUAGUGUAUCUCUAUUUGGUAUUGUAGGCUUAAGAGUAGCUUUGUGUUUUAUAACAUAUUUUAUCUAUGAUUAUUAGUUAGGCAUACAGAGGUGCUUGUAGUUUUUUAUUGGUGGUAAUAAUGGUGCAAUUAGUAGAGUUGAUUUUAGGUUUGAUAGGGAGGUGAAAAUGUUGGUGUAAAGAUUGUUUAGGUGCUAAUGAGGAACUCGGCAAAUUUAUUUUUUAACUGUUUAUCAAAAACAUUUCUCUAAGGGUGUAGUUAGUGUAAGUUCUGCCCCCUG
rnacentral:rRNA from 1 species